rnacentral:rRNA from 1 species
GAUGAACGCUAGCUACAGGCUUAACACAUGCAAGUCGAGGGGAAACGAUAUUGGAAGCUUGCUUCCGAUAGGCGUCGACCGGCGCACGGGUGAGUAACGCGUAUCCAACCUGCCCACCACUUGGGGAUAACCUUGCGAAAGUAAGACUAAUACCCAAUGAUAUCUCUAGAAGACAUCUGAAGGAGAUUAAAGAUUUAUCGGUGAUGGAUGGGGAUGCGUCUGAUUAGCUUGUUGGCGGGGUAACGGCCCACCAAGGCGACGAUCAGUAGGGGUUCUGAGAGGAAGGUCCCCCACAUUGGAACUGAGAUACGGUCCAAACUCCUACGGGAGGCAGCAGUGAGGAAUAUUGGUCAAUGGGCGAGAGCCUGAACCAGCCAAGUAGCGUGCAGGAUGACGGCCCUAUGGGUUGUAAACUGCUUUUAUAAGGGAAUAAAGUGAGCCUCGUGAGGCUUUUCGCAUGUACCUUAUGAAUAAGGACCGGCUAAUUCGUGCCAGCCGCCGCGGUAA